rnacentral:rRNA from 1 species
AAAGAGCUCGUAGGUGGUUCGUCACGUCGGAUGUGAAACUCUGGGGCUUAACCCCAGACCUGCAUUCGAUACGGGCGAGCUUGAGUAUGGUAGGGGAGUCUGGAAUUCCUGGUGUAGCGGUGGAAUGCGCAGAUAUCAGGAGGAACACCAAUGGCGAAGGCAGGACUCUGGGCCAUUACUGACACUGAGGAGCGAAAGCGUGGGGAGCGAACAGGAUUAGAUACCCUGGUAGUCCACGCCGUAAACGAUGGAUACUAGCUGUUGGGAGCAAUCUCAGUGGCUAAGCGAAAGUGAUAAGUAUCCCACCUGGGGAGUACGUUCGCGAGAAUGAUACUCAAAGGAAUCGACGGGGGCCCGCACAAGCGGUGGAGCAUGUGGUCUAAUUCGAUGAUACGCGAGGAACCUUACCAAGGCUUAAAUGUAGUUUGACCGAUUUGGAAACAGAUCUUUCGCAAGACAAAUUACAAGGUGCUGCAUGGUUGUCGUCAGCUCGUGCCGUGAGGUGUCAGGUUAAGUCCUAUAACGAGCGCAACCCCUGUUGUUAGUUGCCAGCGAGUCAAGUCGGGAACUCUAACAAGACUGCCAGUGCAAACUGUGAGGAAGGUGGGGAUGACGUCAAAUCAUCACGGCCCUUACGCCUUGGGCUACACACGUGCUACAAUGGACGGUACAGAGAGCAGCCACUGGGUGACCAGGAGCGAAUCUACAAAACCGUUCUCAGUUCGGAUCGGAGUCUGCAACUCGACUCCGUGAAGCUGGAAUCGCUAGUAA